CAGCAGCCGCGGGAAUACAGAGGGUGCAAGCGUUAAUCGGAGUUACUGGGCGUAAAGCGCGCGUAGGUGGUUCGCCAAGUUGGAUGUGAAAUCCCCGGGCUCAACCUGGGAACUGCAUCCAAAACUGGCGAGCUAGAGUAUGGUAGAGGGUGGUGGAAUUUCCUGUGUAGCGGUGAAAUGCGUAGAUAUAGGAAGGAACAUCAGUGGCGAAGGCGACCACCUGGACUGAUACUGACACUGAGGUGCGAAAGCGUGGGGAGCAAACAGGAUUAGAUACCCCAGUAGUCCCUGUCUCUUAUAC
rnacentral:rRNA from 1 species